rnacentral:rRNA from 1 species
ACAGGGAUUGCCUCAGUAACGGCGAGUGAAGCGGCAACAGCUCAAAUUUGAAAUCUGGCUUCCGGGCCCGAGUUGUAAUUUGCAGAGGGAGUUUCGGAGGCGGCACCGGCCUAAGUUCCUUGGAACGGGGCGUCAUAGAGGGUGAGAAUCCCGUACGUGGCCGGUGAUCAAUUCCAUGUGAAACCCUUUCGACGAGUCGAGUUGUUUGGGAAUGCAGCUCAAAAUGGGUGGUAAAUUUCAUCUAAAGCUAAAUACCGGCCAGAGACCGAUAGCGCACAAGUAGAGUGAUCGAAAGAUGAAAAGCACUUUGGAAAGAGAGUUAAAAAGUACGUGAAAUUGUUGAAAGGGAAGCGCUUGCGACCAGACUUGCCCGCGGGUGAUCAGCCCCCCUUCGGGAGGGUGCACUCGCCCGUGGUCAGGCCAGCAUCGGUUUUGGCGGGCGGAUAAAGGCUCCAGGAAUGUAACUCCCCUCGGGGAGUGUUAUAGCCUGGGGUGCCAUGCGCCCCGCCGGGAUCGAGGACCGCGCUUCGGCUAGGAUGCUGGCGUAAUGGUCGUAAGCGACCCGUCUUGAAACACGGACCAAGGAGUCUAACAUCUGUGCGAGUGUUUGGGUGUCAAACCCAUGCGCGGAAUGAAAGUGAACGGAGGUGGGAACCCCUUCCGGGGGGCGCACCAUCGACCGAUCCUGAUGUCUUCGGAUGGAUUUGAGUAGGAGCAUGGCUGUUGGGACCCGAAAGAUGGUGAACUAUGCCUGGAUAGGGUGAAGCCAGAGGAAACUCUGGUGGAGGCUCGCAGCGGUUCUGACGUGCAAAUCGAUCGUCAAAUCUGGGUAUAGGGGCGAAAGGUCAGUGCAUUCAUUUCUUUUGUGGUGGAACCAGGGUGGAGACGUGCUAACAAG